rnacentral:rRNA from 1 species
UGUUUCGGCUAGGGGGCCAUCCCGGCUUACCAACCCGAUGCAAACUGCGAAUACCGGAGAAUGUUAUCACGGGAGACACACGGCGGGUGCUAACGUCCGUCGUGAAGAGGGAAACAACCCAGACCGCCAGCUAAGGUCCCAAAGUCAUGGUUAAGUGGGAAACGAUGUGGGAAGGCCCAGACAGCCAGGAUGUUGGCUUAGAAGCAGCCAUCAUUUAAAGAAAGCGUAAUAGCUCACUGGUCGAGUCGGCCUGCGCGGAAGAUGUAACGGGGCUAAACCAUGCACCGAAGCUGCGGCAGCGACACUUUAGUGUUGUUGGGUAGGGGAGCGUUCUGUAAGCCGUUGAAGGUGUCCUGUGAGGGGUGCUGGAGGUAUCAGAAGUGCGAAUGCUGACAUAAGUAACGAUAAAGCGGGUGAAAAGCCCGCUCGCCGGAAGACCAAGGGUUCCUGUCCAACGUUAAUCGGGGCAGGGUGAGUCGACCCCUAAGGCGAGGCCGAAAGGCGUAGUCGAUGGGAAACGGGUUAAUAUUCCCGUACUUGGUGUUACUGCGAAGGGGGGACGGAGAAGGCUAUGUUGGCCGGGCGAC